ACGGAGGGUGCAAGCGUUGCUCGGAAUUAUUGGGCGUAAAGGGUAGGUAGGUGGUCUUAUUUGUCUGGGGUGAAAGCCUUGAGCUUAACUCAAGAAGUGCCCCAGAAACGGUAAGACUAGAGUCCUAGAGAGGGUCGUGGAAUUCCCGGUGUAGCGGUGAAAUGCGUAGAGAUCGGGAGGAACACCAGAGGCGAAGGCGGCGACCUGGAUAGGUACUGACACUCAACUACGAAAGCGUGGGGAGCAAACAG
rnacentral:rRNA from 1 species